CUCCUCAGAUCUCCAGGCUCAAAGCGUCCGUCCACUAGCUGAAUACUCAGUCAGACUGGUGGAUGAGACCACUUCCUGUUCUGGGACAGUGGAAGUCUUCAACAGAGGAGAGUGGUUGGGUGCAUGUUCUGGGUGGUGGAGCAUGAUGAGAGCGGCUAAGAUUGUGUGUAGACAGCUGGACUGUGGGAAUCCUGUAGCUGAAUCUAGAGGACCUCUGUUUGAAGAUGGAAGAAGAGGAGUCAGACUGGAUGGUUGCUAUGGACAUGAGUCGUCUGUUAGACAGUGUGACGUCAUAGGACGUGGUGUCUGUAAUGGUGGAUAUUAUCGUCAUGUGACCUGUUCAGAGUCUGUGCGGCUUGUGGAUGGAGCUGGUCUCUGCUCUGGGAGAGUGG